rnacentral:rRNA from 1 species
GACGAACGCUGGCGGCGUGCUUAACACAUGCAAGUCGAACGGAAAGGCCCUGCUUUUGUGGGGUGCUCGAGUGGCGAACGGGUGAGUGACACGUGAGUAACCUGCCCUUGACUUUGGGAUAACUUCAGGAAACUGGGGCUAAUACCGGAUAGGAGCUCCUGCUGCAUGGUGGGGGUUGGAAAGUUUCGGCGGUUGGGGAUGGACUCGCGGCUUAUCAGCUUGUUGGUGGGGUAGUGGCUUACCAAGGCUUUGACGGGUAGCCGGCCUGAGAGGGGGACCGGCCACACUGGGCCUGAGAUACGGCCCAGCCUCCUACGGGAGGCAGCAGUGGGGAAUAUUGCACAAUGGGCGGAAGCCUGAUGCAGCAACGCCGCGUGCGGGAUGACGGCCUUCGGGUUGUAAACCGCUUUCGCCUGUGACGAAGCGUGAGUGACGGUAACGGGUGAAGAAGCACCGGCUAACUACGUG